rnacentral:rRNA from 1 species
GACGUAGGAGGCGAGCGUUGUCCGGAUUCAUUGGGCGUAAAGAGCGCGCAGGCGGCUUGGUAAGUCGGAUGUGAAAUCCCGAGGCUCAACCUCGGGUCUGCAUCCGAUACUGCCCGGCUAGAGGUAGGUAGGGGAGAUCGGAAUUCCUGGUGUAGCGGUGAAAUGCGCAGAGAUGUGGAGGAACACCGGUGGCGAAGGCGGCAUCCUGGACCGGUAUUGACGCUGAGGAGCGAAAGCCAGGGGAGCAAACGGG